rnacentral:rRNA from 1 species
AAGAAUAAGCACCGGCUAACUACGUGCCAGCAGCCGCGGUAAUACGUAGGGUGCGAGCGUUAAUCGGAAUUACUGGGCGUAAAGCGGGCGCAGACGGUUACUUUAAGCAGGAUGUGAAAUCCCCGGGCUCAACCCGGGAACUGCGUUCUGAACUGGGUGACUCGAGUGUGUCAGAGGGAGGUAGAAUUCCACGUGUAGCAG